rnacentral:rRNA from 1 species
AACGGCCAUACCAUGCUGAAUAUACUGGUUCUCGUUAGAUCAUCGAAGUCAAGCAUCAUUGGGCGCGGUCAGUACUUGGG